rnacentral:tRNA from 1 species
GCCGAAGUGGUGAAAUGGUAGACACGCUAGGUUCAGGGUCUAGUGGGGGCAACCCCGUGCGGGUUCGAGUCCCGCCUUCGGCA